rnacentral:rRNA from 1 species
UACAGAGGGGGCAAGCGUUGUUCGGAAUUACUGGGCGUAAAGGGCGCGUAGGCGGCCCUCUAAGUCAGACGUGAAAUCCCUCGGCUCAACCGGGGAACUGCGUCUGAGACUGGGGGGCUUGAAUCCGGGAGAGGGAUGUGGAAUUCCAGGUGUAGCGGUGAAAUGCGUAGAUAUCUGGAGGAACACCGGUGGCGAAGGCGGCAUCCUGGACCGGUAUUGACGCUGAGGCGCGAAAGCCAGGGGAGCAAACGGGG